AAAUAAAAGCCUAAAUAAAUUUGAAGUACCCGCGCACAAUUAUCUUCUUCACUGUACACCUCGCGUGAGAGUCUUCUUCUUCAUUCCGCCAGCGACCCAAACGACAGCAGCUCUCCCUCCUCAACUCCGAUCACGACAGCGACAUCCUCCUUCCAUCGUUCACCAGCGGUCUCUGGUCAGGGUCUGUUUAAGAUUCUAUCUCUGACUUGGACAGUUGAGCUUGAUGAAGAUCAUAGAUCUGAAAAUUUUGGUAUAGGAACAUUGUUGAAUGUUUUAUUGGCUGAUUCAGAAAUUGGCAAGGCUUUUGGUGGAGUUGAACAGAUACUAGUAGCUGCUACACCUAUUAAGAUGGUUAGGUCACUAUUAUAAGGAAAAUGUUGCUCGAAUUCAUCUAGAAUUAUGGUUUGUUUUCUUAUAUUUAAAUUAUGUUGUGCUUGCAUUGUUCUUCUUUGAUUGGUAUUGGGAAGCUCUGUCAAAAUUUAAGUUAAAAAGAUAGUAUAUUAAUAGGAAUAUGACAACGCUAAAAAUUUGUUAUGGGAAUUUUCUACAUGCAGGAGGAUUUUAGUCGAAUUUUAGGGAAACCUUUGUCGAAUUUUUUUCUAGGAAAUGGACAAGAGUUUGAUAACAAAGAACAUGCUUUCAAAAGAGUAUGAAGAGGGAGUUGACAACUUUAUUUUCCUCGUCAACCAUUACAAUCAGUACAAUGUAGAUUCUAUGUUAUGAGGAUGAUGAAAGACUUCGUGACAAAGGAGUUUUCAAUGCGAUGGCUAACUAGUAACUGUGGCGGGAAGAACUCUUACACAAAGGAUGAGAUCAAUGAAGUACGUGAAGAAUGGGCACAAUGCGUCAUGAAUUUGAUUAGUACUACAUAGGUCUAGUCACUUUUGUUAACUUAGACUUUUAAGGAGAUACACUUACAAUGUUAACUUAGACUUUCUUGAAGAUAUACAUACUUUUGUUGUCUAACUAUAGUUUACAAUGCUUAUAUGAGUAAUUUUGUAAUUAACUUUAGACUCGUUAUUUUGGAUACUUAGUUCAAAUUCUAGUAUUUUAUAUUACUAUGAUAUCUAUUUUGUUUUGUUCGGUUUGUUUGUA